AAUUCUGUCUUUCGAACGUAUGUAGUGCAGGGAAUAUGCGGCCGGUUGAAUUUUUCUUGUGUUUUUUUUUUAUGGUGGGGGGGAUAACUAUCUGUAUCAACUCAUAGCAAAAUGCUUCAAAGACACUACGAACUCUAGUGUCGACCAGCUACCAUGAGGGUAAAUUAGCCGUUUGAACGUGGAUGGACUUCAGAAGUCCUAUGGGCUGUGUCCACUCAAGAGGUCUGCCAACCUGGGUGUGAUUCCAUGAAAAUGUUCCAAUGAAGUUACUCCAAUGAGAGCAGUGCCGGUGGGUCAAGAGGACAGUCAAUUGGUCUACCAACCUGGAUGUGAACCCCUGAAAAUACAGCAAGUAAUGCCAUUGGGAUCAGGUAAUGGGGUCAAAGACGUUGUGCCAAGGACAGGACUCAAGAACUGAUUCAACAAAAUAAUGAUCAGUGACUGACACAAAGAAACUAGUUCAAUGCAAACAUUAGAAUGUCACGUUUUAAUGGUGUACUUAAUACCAGAAAGUCACAGGGCUUUAAGCCCCACAGUUAAUCAGUGUGAAAGGCUGAAUUGUAAGGUGCUUUCUUGAGUGUGUCCAGGAAGAACUGCUCGUCCUGCAGAAAGUCACGAUCCUAAGAAGAUAAAAACAAGUACAUUUAUCUACAAUAAAGAUUUUGAAACUAC